CUUGCCUUUGGUUGUGGUUCUGAGGGAGCUGCUUUCUCCCAGUGACAUUGGAAUUUGAUCAGAGGCUCUGGGGGAAAUGGCUGGGUCAUCAUGUGACCUAAGUCAGCUGACUGGCUGGGACUGAACAGACGAGGAAAUUGCAAAUUUAUCUACACACUGCACAUUACAGGAACCAUCAAGAGCCAGGUCAGAGGGCUUUUGUGGGGGAUGGAGCUACUCCUAGCAUUCCUCGUGAUACUACUCUCCAGCUGCAGCCUGUCAUUGGACAAUGGCCUCAUGAGGACCCCACCCAUGGGAUGGUUGGCAUGGGAACGCUUCCGCUGCAACACAGACUGCGAUGGUGAUCCUGAAAACUGCAUCAGUGAGCGUCUGUUUAUGGACAUGGCUGACCGGUUGGCAGAAGAUGGUUGGAAGGAACUUGGAUAUCAGUAUGUGAACAUUGACGAUUGUUGGGCAGCAAAGAGGAGGGACUCAGAAGGACGGCUGGUGGCUGAUCCCGUAAGAUUCCCCAGUGGAAUUAAAGCUUUGGCUGAAUAUGUGAGUCUAGAUUUUAUCCU